UACGAAGGGUGCAAACGUUGCUCGGAAUUAUUGGGCGUAAAGCGCACGUAGGCGGCUUGGCAAGUCGGAUGUGAAAUCCCUCGGCUCAACCAAGGAAGUGCAUCCGAAACUGCUGAGCUUGAGUACUUAAGAGGAUCGCGGAAUUCCCGGUGUAGAGGUGAAAUUCGUAGAUAUCGGGAGGAACACCAGUGGCGAAGGCGACUUCCUGGCCUGUUCUUGACGCUGAGGCGCGAAAGCUAGGGGAGCAAACGGG
rnacentral:rRNA from 1 species